GGGUGACAACGGUCAAUAAUGAAGGUGGCUGCGGCGCGGCGGCAGGCUCAGCUGCGCCGGGCGGGGGCGGCGCCGGGGCCGCGCCUGUAGGACUCGGGGCCGACGCCGCGGGAUGGGGACGCGGCGCGGGGAGUGAGGCAGUGGCGGCGGCGGCGGUAAGCGGAACUUCGGCCCGAGGGGCUCGCCCGCUCCCGCCUCUGUCUUGUCGGCCUCCACCUGCAGCCCCGCGGCCCCCGCGCCCCGCGGGACCCGGACGGCGACGACGGGGGAAUGUGGCGCUGGAUCCGGCAGCAGCUGGGUUUUGACCCACCACAUCAGAGUGACACAAGAACCAUCUACGUAGCCAACAGGUUUCCUCAGAAUGGCCUUUACACACCUCAGAAAUUUAUAGAUAACAGGAUCAUUUCAUCUAAGUACACUGUGUGGAAUUUUGUUCCAAAAAAUUUAUUUGAACAGUUCAGAAGAGUGGCAAACUUUUAUUUUCUUAUUAUAUUUUUGGUUCAGCUUAUGAUUGAUACACCUACCAGUCCAAUUACCAGUGGACUUCCAUUAUUCUUUGUGAUAACAGUAACUGCCAUAAAGCAGGGAUAUGAAGAUUGGUUACGGCAUAACUCAGAUAAUGAAGUAAAUGGAGCUCCUGUUUAUGUUGUUCGAAGUGGUGGCCUUGUAAAAACUAGAUCAAAAAACAUUCGGGUGGGUGAUAUUGUUCGAAUAGCCAAAGAUGAAAUUUUUCCUGCAGACUUGGUGCUUCUGUCCUCAGAUCGACUGGAUGGUUCCUGUCACGUUACAACUGCUAGUUUGGAUGGAGAAACUAACCUGAAGACACAUGUGGCAGUUCCAGAAACAGCAUUAUUACAAACAGUUGCCAAUUUGGACACUCUAGUAGCUGUAAUAGAAUGCCAGCAACCAGAAGCAGACUUAUACAGAUUCAUGGGACGAAUGAUCAUAACCCAACAAAUGGAAGAAAUUGUAAGACCUCUGGGGCCGGAGAGUCUUCUGCUUCGUGGAGCCAGAUUAAAAAACACAAAAGAAAUUUUUGGUGUUGCGGUAUACACUGGAAUGGAAACUAAGAUGGCAUUAAAUUACAAGAGCAAAUCACAGAAACGAUCUGCAGUAGAAAAGUCAAUGAAUACAUUUUUGAUAAUUUAUCUAGUAAUUCUUAUAUCUGAAGCUGUCAUCAGCACUAUCUUGAAGUAUACAUGGCAAGCUGAAGAAAAAUGGGAUGAACCUUGGUAUAACCAAAAAACAGAACAUCAAAGAAAUAGCAGUAAGAUUCUGAGAUUUAUUUCAGACUUCCUUGCUUUUUUGGUUCUCUACAAUUUCAUCAUUCCAAUUUCAUUAUAUGUGACAGUCGAAAUGCAGAAAUUUCUUGGAUCAUUUUUUAUUGGCUGGGAUCUUGAUCUGUAUCAUGAAGAAUCAGAUCAGAAAGCUCAAGUCAAUACUUCCGAUCUGAAUGAAGAGCUUGGACAGGUAGAGUACGUGUUUACAGAUAAAACUGGUACACUGACAGAAAAUGAGAUGCAGUUUCGAGAAUGUUCAAUUAAUGGCAUGAAAUACCAAGAAAUCAAUGGUAGACUUGUACCCGAAGGACCAACACCAGACUCUUCAGAAGGAAACUUAUCUUAUCUUAGUAGUUUAUCCCAUCUUAACAACUUAUCCCAUCUUACAACCAGUUCCUCUUUCAGAACCAGUCCUGAAAAUGAAACUGAACUAAUUAAAGAACAUGAUCUCUUCUUUAAAGCAGUCAGUCUCUGUCACACUGUACAGAUUAGCAAUGUUCAAACUGACUGCACUGGUGAUGGUCCCUGGCAAUCCAACCUGGCACCAUCGCAGUUGGAGUACUAUGCAUCUUCACCAGAUGAAAAGGCUCUAGUAGAAGCUGCUGCAAGGAUUGGUAUUGUGUUUAUUGGCAAUUCUGAAGAAACUAUGGAGGUUAAAACUCUUGGAAAACUGGAACGGUACAAACUGCUUCAUAUUCUGGAAUUUGAUUCAGAUCGUAGGAGAAUGAGUGUAAUUGUUCAGGCACCUUCAGGUGAGAAGUUAUUAUUUGCUAAAGGAGCUGAGUCAUCAAUUCUCCCUAAAUGUAUAGGUGGAGAAAUAGAAAAAACCAGAAUUCAUGUAGAUGAAUUUGCUUUGAAAGGGCUAAGAACUCUGUGUAUAGCAUAUAGAAAAUUUACAUCAAAAGAGUAUGAGGAAAUAGAUAAACGCAUAUUUGAAGCCAGGACUGCCUUGCAGCAGCGGGAAGAGAAAUUGGCAGCUGUUUUCCAGUUCAUAGAGAAAGACCUGAUAUUACUUGGAGCCACAGCAGUAGAAGACAGACUACAAGAUAAAGUUCGAGAAACUAUUGAAGCAUUGAGAAUGGCUGGUAUCAAAGUAUGGGUACUUACUGGGGAUAAACAUGAAACAGCUGUUAGUGUGAGUUUAUCAUGUGGCCAUUUUCAUAGAACCAUGAACAUCCUUGAACUUAUAAACCAGAAAUCAGACAGUGAAUGUGCUGAACAAUUGAGGCAGCUUGCCAGAAGAAUUACAGAGGAUCAUGUGAUUCAGCAUGGGCUGGUAGUGGAUGGGACCAGCCUAUCUCUUGCACUCAGGGAGCAUGAAAAACUAUUUAUGGAAGUUUGCAGAAAUUGUUCAGCUGUAUUAUGCUGUCGUAUGGCUCCACUGCAGAAAGCAAAAGUAAUAAGACUAAUAAAAAUAUCACCUGAGAAACCUAUAACAUUGGCUGUUGGUGAUGGUGCUAAUGACGUAAGCAUGAUACAAGAAGCCCAUGUUGGCAUAGGAAUCAUGGGUAAAGAAGGAAGACAGGCUGCAAGAAACAGUGACUAUGCAAUAGCCAGAUUUAAGUUCCUCUCCAAAUUGCUUUUUGUUCAUGGUCAUUUUUAUUAUAUUAGAAUAGCUACCCUUGUACAGUAUUUUUUUUAUAAGAAUGUGUGCUUUAUCACACCCCAGUUUUUAUAUCAGUUCUACUGUUUGUUUUCUCAGCAAACAUUGUAUGACAGCGUGUACCUGACUUUAUACAAUAUUUGUUUUACUUCCCUACCUAUUCUGAUAUAUAGUCUUUUGGAACAGCAUGUAGACCCUCAUGUGUUACAAAAUAAGCCCACCCUUUAUCGAGACAUUAGUAAAAACCGCCUCUUAAGUAUUAAAACAUUUCUUUAUUGGACCAUCCUGGGCUUCAGUCAUGCCUUUAUUUUCUUUUUUGGAUCCUAUUUACUAAUAGGGAAAGAUACAUCUCUGCUUGGAAAUGGCCAGAUGUUUGGAAACUGGACAUUUGGCACUUUGGUCUUCACAGUCAUGGUUAUUACAGUCACAGUAAAGAUGGCUCUGGAAACUCAUUUUUGGACUUGGAUCAACCAUCUCGUUACCUGGGGAUCUAUUAUAUUUUAUUUUGUAUUUUCCUUGUUUUAUGGAGGGAUUCUCUGGCCAUUUUUGGGCUCCCAGAAUAUGUAUUUUGUGUUUAUUCAGCUCUUGUCAAGUGGUUCUGCUUGGUUUGCCAUAAUCCUCAUGGUGGUUACAUGUCUAUUUCUUGAUAUCAUAAAGAAGGUCUUUGACCGACACCUCCACCCUACAAGUACUGAAAAGGCACAGAUGUACUCCAACACAGUUGCUUUAAGUGACGAGUUCAUCGCACUGCAGCCAUUGUCGAGGGCAAGGAAUCAGCUGAGCAAACUUAGAUGGAAGAAGAUAAGGGUUCAGUCAGCUCAGCAUAUGAAUUUGCUGAAAGCCAGCACAGAGGGGAGGACAGUAGGCACCUGCUAGCUGAGGCUUGCAGCCAGCAGGACAGUUGUUGCGUGCACUAGCUUACUGAAACAAAUGCAGGUAUCAAGUGCUUGGACUCCAUGUGCUGUUUCCCGGAAGGAGAAGCAGCGUGUGCAUCUGUUGGAAGAAUGCUGGAACGAGUUAUAGGAAGAUGUAGUCCGACCCACAUCAGCAGAUCAUGGAGUGCAUCGGAUCCUUUCUAUACCAACGACAGGAGCAUCUUGACUCUCUCCACAAUGGACUCAUCUACUUGUUAAAGGGGCAGUAGUACUUUGUGGGAGCCAGUUCACCUCCUUUCCUAAAAUUCAGUGUGAUCACCCUGUUAAUGGCCACACUAGCUCUGAAAUUAAUGUCCGAAAUCUUUGUAGUAGUUCAUACCCACUCAGAGUUAUAAUGGCAAACAAACAGAAAGCAUUAGUACAAGCCCCUCCCAACACCCUUAAUUUGAAUCUGAACAUGUUAAAAUUUGAGAAUAAGGAGACAUUUUUCAUCUCUUUGUCUGGUUUGUCCCUUGUGCUUAUGGGACUCCUAAUGGCAUUUCAGUCUGUUGCUGAGGCCAUUAUAUUUUAAUAUAAAUGUAGAAAAAAGAGAUAAAUCUUAGUAAAGAGUAUUUUUUAGUAUUAGCUUGAUUAUUGACUCUUCUAUUUAAAUCUGCUUCUGUAAAUUAUGCUGAAAGUUUGCCUUGAGAACUCUAUUUUUUUAUUAGAGUUAUAUUUAAAGCUUUUCUUAAUGUGAAUACUGAGGAAUUUUGGUCCCUCAGUGACCUGUGUUGUUAAUUCAUUAAUGCAUUCUGAGUUCACAGAGCAAAUUAGGAGAAUCAUUUCCAACCAUUAUUUACUGCAGUAUGGGGAGUAAAAUUUAUACCAAUUCCUCUAACUGUACUGUAACACAGCCUGUAAAGUUAGCCAUAUAAAUGCAAGGGUAUAUCAUAUAUACAAAUCAGGAAUCAGGUCCGUUCACCGAACUUCAAAUUGAUGUUUACUAAUAUUUUUGUGACAGAGUAUGAAGACCCUAUAGUGGGUAAAUUAGAUACUAUUAGCAUAUUAUUAAUUUAAUGUCUUUAUCAUUGGAUCUUUUGCAUGCUUUAAUCUGGUUAACAUAUUUAAAUUUGCUUUUUUUCUCUUUACCUGAAGGCUCUGUGUAUAGUAUUUCAUGACAUCGUUGUACAGUUUAACUAUAUCAAUAAAAAGUUUGGACAGUA